AUUCGCUUUGGGAGGAGUUGUGCGUGGGUUGAAGUGCGACAGGCGUAUGUUGUCGCGCGGCUGAUAAAUGUAGUGGCAGUGUAUACAUUGUGUUGUCAGUUACUGGGAUUAAGCUAUCGCAUUCUAUUUGUUUAGUACUUCCCAGGUAAUUAAGAGACCGUAAAUGGAUAUAUGCUUUCCACGUGGCCCUAUCGUUAACCUCAGAUUUGUUUACAAAUUGCGGCUUGCAAAAUUUAUUCGGUAUAACUAUGUCUUGUGAUUACGAUGACAGCGAGUUCUUGGACUUUAAAGAAUUGGAAGAACAGAUAACUCAGAUAGUAGAUAAUGGAAACCUCGAGGAAAUGCUUCGCAUACAACUGUCGGAGUUUGAAAUGUUACAAUCCAUGUUUUCAAAUCCAGGAGAAUUUUGUGUGGAUGACCCGAGCGUUAUAGCCGAUAUAAAUGAGUUUGUGGACGGAAGGUGUUCUAUCAUUCCACCUCGUUUAGAUUUUAGUAUAAAUUUAUUUAUAGAUAUGGCCAAGUUCGAAGUCUGUGUGAACCUCCCACACGAUUAUCCAGCUACUGAGCCAGAUAUUUUUGUGAGAAGUGACAAACUCAGCAGAAACCAGCAACACAGUUUAAAUAUUGACCUUAGCAAAUUUAUUGCUGAUCUUGAUCGAGGUGAAAUCUGUAUCUGCUCCGCAAUUUCUUGGCUUCAAGAAAAUGCUACUCAUUAUUACGUUGCAAUUAAACCAGAACCACAAGUGAAAAUAUGCGAAGAUGAAGAUUUGUUUACCCGGUACUGGAUAUAUUCUCAUCACAUUUACAGUAAAAUAAAGAGGAGAGAAGUAUUGGAUCUUGCUCAUGAAUUUAACAUCACAGGAUUUUGCCUUCCUGGAAAACCUGGAAUUAUUUGCGCUGAAGGUUCCUCUAUGGAUUGUGGUGAAUGGUGGCAAAAGGUGAAGAGCAUGAACUGGAAAAAGAUCAUGUGUAAGAAGAAGGAAACUUUCAAGUUAAAUGGAGGAGAAAUGGAUGAACUUCGGAAAUUUCCCAGUUUUCGUGAGAUUUCUUUUGAAUCUGUUUCAGGUUGAACUACAUAAAAGUUGUGUACAAGGGUUGAGGAUAAGGAAAAGGAAAAGGGGUUGGUGGAGGACAGUGAGUAAUGGAGGCUGUGACCAGGAGAUUGGUGCAUUGAAGAAUGUGCUGGAGGGACAGUUCUACACAUGAAAUUCAGGAAAGCUAUUGCUAUUAGGGUGGCCCUAGUGACAGUAACUCUGGUAACAGGGAGUUGUGAACCCAGAAUGCCAAUAUUCAGAGGUCCAGUACUUUGUGAAAGAAGAAGAUAGCUGCUUGUAGAACUUGGUUCUUUUGAGCCAUGGCAAUCAUUGCCUUCCAGAAAGCAGAAUGCAGACCCUUGUAGGCUGUGGUUCUUUUGAGCCAUGGUAGUGUGCCUGGCAUUGGGGCAGGAGGAUCCCAGUUUGAAAUAAUAACAUGUCUCACAGCACAUUAUUCCUGAACUUGCAUAACAAUGCAGUCGUGGCAACAAGAGCUGCAAAUGGUCCUGCAGGGAACAGCAGUGUCCAAGUCAUCAGUGAUUUGUGUAUUCUACUGUACGUACCUUGUGUCAGUGAGCUUUGUCAGCCUACUCAUUUGUGCACUGAACUUUUAGCAAUGAAGCGAAGCAAAAAUUUUAUGUAUAUCUGUAAACCAUAAGCAUUUACAUCAUGGUCAUUGGUGAAUAAUAAUAUAAGAAAACUAUAUAGUUUCUUUUAUAUUUUUCACAGGAACAUUUUUAUUUUACCCUUUAUAGGCACUGAUGUGAAGAUUCACUAGCCCCAUUUGGAGAAGGUCCAAAAUUAAACCUAGAAUUGGUAAAGCAGGACCAAGUAGGAAACAGGACAAGAAGCAGCAGUUUCAGGAUAUUUUUUGUGCAAUCGCUGAAUGUUAUCAUUUGCUUUAUUUGCAAAAGUGUUGUAGGCAUUCCUAAGUAGUACAGCUUAAGGAUACAUUACAGAAUUCUGCCUCUUCUAAAUUGUCGGAAGAACUACGUGAACAGAAAUUUUCUUCCUUGAAGUGAGAAUUGGCUUGUUAGUAAGUCAUGUUCAGAAAACCUAUUAAAAACUCAUGAACUGCAACAGAAAUAAGUUUUGAAGUAUCUCACUUUAUAGUAAAAAAAUCAAAAAUUGUUUUGAGAUAGCUGCUAAAAAUAUUUGCCCUGAAUCAGUUAACCAUUCUGAUAAAAACAUCACAGGGUUGUGGGACAGAAGAAAAUGGAUUUUCUUCCAUUUUCAGAAAAUUCAGUUAAACCAAAUGAUCACUUAAAGGAUAAUUACUGCAGGGUCGGCAAAUAUGAAGAACCAGUUAAGACAUUGCUCAAAGAAAUUUGCUUACUUUUCAUUUGUUAUUGAUGUGUCAACUGACACCAUCUCCACACCCCAGUUGUUAGUAUUUGCAUAUGGAAUGAUGCAUGAGUUUGGAGUACAUGACCAGUUAACUGGAAUGAGUUCACUGUGAGGGCAAACUAGGGUUAGUGAUAUGUUCAUUGGACUGUUGGAACUGUGUGCAAACAUUGACUUAACUGACUAACUUAAUAGGUAUUAUGAAUAACAGAGAAUCUACCAUGGUAGGAAUUAAUUCUGGAUUGAUAUCAUCACUAAAACACCAUUUAUAAGCCCAUGAUGAUAUGAUGCAAUUACACUGUAUAAUCCCCUCAAAGACUUUUCUGCACUAACAAAAUAGGUUUCGGGCAUGUCACGAAAGUUGAAAGUUGUGGUUUCAACAGUUAAUUUCAUAAAAUUUCAUGGUCAAAUCACAGACAGUUUAAAACCUUCCUUGAAGACACUGACAAUGAAUACGGUGAUUUGAUCUUUUACACAGAAACAACAUGGCUAAAUUGUGGUAGAAAUGCUGCAGCAGUUCCUGAAUUCAACUGAUGAUACUGAAAUUUAAAUGAUUCAAAAUAACAGAAAAAAAGGGUUUCUUGUGGGACUUUGCAUUUUUUACAGACAUUACCAGUUGUUUCAGCAUGUUAAAUACUCAGCGUCAAAGCAAAAAUCAAUUCAUUAAUCAACUUUAUGGCCAUAUUAUAUGUUUUCAUUGUAAGCUACAUGUGUUUUAAACCAACUGAAGUCCAACUUUGUGCUUAUGAUGAGAAAGUUGGUAACUUGAUAUCAGCUUUCAAGACUCAUUUCCCUGAUUUUCACAAGAUAAAGCCAUUGCUAGAUUGACUUAGCAACCAUUUUGCCUGAAAAUGCACCAGAAGUGAUGCAGCUGGAACUCAACGGCAUGCAAAACGAUGAAACACUGCGAUUUAAAUUUGAUGAUACAAACUGCUGAAUGUCUAUCUUCUUAUUAAUAGGAACAAUUGGAAGGUAUUGGUAGACACUGCAGUAAGAUGUGCAAACCCUUUUGGGCCAAGUUAUAUGUAUAAACAAACUUUUUCCUUAAUGAAAAUCAACAGAUCAGUAAAUAGUAACCGCUUGAUAAACGGCAAUCUAGAGCCAA